AUGGAGGUGAAGCUCAAGGACCUCGUCCCGGCAGCGACUAACACAGUGAACACGACGUUCAUCGUGGUUGACAAGGCGCCACGCCCGGCCCACGCAAACGCGCACGGCAGGGAGGAGACAUGCCCGUCACUAGUGGCUGACGAGACGGCAGCGGUGCAUUUCCUUCUGUGGGGCACCGAGUGCGAUGCCUUCGAGUCUGGGGACAUCGUGCGGCUCACGAGUGGCAUCUUCUCGUACCAUAGAGGCAACAACCUGUUCUUGCGCGCCGGGAAGCGAGGACGAAUGGAGAAGGUGGGCGAGUUCACCAUGAUGUUCGUCGAGACGCCCAACAUGAGCGAGGUGAGGUGGGGGCCCGAUCCAGGCGACCCAAGGAAGAUGGUGCAGGAGGCUGUCGUGUCGCCCUACUCCCAAGUCUUCAAGCCGCUGCAUUGA
rnacentral:rRNA from 1 species